AUACGUAGGUGGCAAGCGUUGUCCGGAAUUAUUGGGCGUAAAGCGCGCGCAGGUGGUUCCUUAAGUCUGAUGUGAAAGCCCCCGGCUCAACCGGGGAGGGUCAUUGGAAACUGGGGAACUUGAGUGCAGAAGAGGAUAGUGGAAUUCCAAGUGUAGCGGUGAAAUGCGUAGAGAUUUGGAGGAACACCAGUGGCGAAGGCGACUGUCUGGUCUGUAACUGACACUGAGGCGCGAAAGCGUGGGGAGCAAACAGGAUUAGAUACCCUGGUAGUCCACGCCGUAAACGAUGAGUGCUAAGUGUUGGGGGGUUCCCGCCCCUCAGUGCUGCAGCUAACGCAUUAAGCACUCCGCCUGGGGAGUACGGUCGCAAGACUGAAACUCAAAUGAAUUGACGGGG
rnacentral:rRNA from 1 species